CAUCGGUGCCUCCGCAACACGAAGCCGUGAACCCGGUCAGGCCCGGAAGGGAGCAGCCGUAGCGGUGGAGUUGUGUGCCGGAGAUUUGCUGGUGGGG
rfam:Marinobacter lutaoensis strain T5054 DSM17466_contig_5, whole genome shotgun sequence.